AUGGCCUCUCAUCGGGGAGCAACCGAUAUCAACUAGUUAUCUAGAGUGGUAUUCGCUGAGAUUAGUAAGCAUUGGAUAAUGCUCGCUUAAACCCGUACAACCUGACUCAGAUAAUGCUG
rnacentral:misc_RNA from 1 species